CGUGUAGGCGGCCUUUCAAGUCGGAUGUGAAAGCCCGGGGCUCAACCCCGGAAUUGCAUCCGAUACUGUUGGGCUUGAGUGCGGGAGAGGGAAGUGGAAUUCCCAGUGUAGAGGUGAAAUUCGUUGAUAUUGGGAGGAACACCCGAGGCGAAAGCGGCUUCCUGGCCUAGCACUGACGCUGAGACGCGAAAGCGUGGGGAGCAAACA
rnacentral:rRNA from 1 species